rnacentral:rRNA from 1 species
UAUAGCGAUUGCGUAACUGUGUUCAUUCCACAAAAUAGAUGAAGCAGUCUCGAUUUAAUCGAAUAAAAUUCUGGAUAAAACUAUGAUAAUGACAUUAUUUAUCCAUGAGUCUUGACCAAAUUACGUGCCAGCAGUCGCGGUAAUACGUAGAAGACUAGUGUUAUUCAUCUUUAAUAGGUUUAAAGGGUACCUAGACGGCAUUUUAAGCCUUAACAGGUACUGAUUUGCUAGAGUUACUUAUGAAGAAGUUCUAAUGUACUAGAGGUGUAGAGAUAAAAUUCAGUGAUACCUUUUUUCUAACGAAAAAUUUCGGCACAGGUAUAGGUGAAAACAUCUUCUUAUGGGAUAACUGACGUUGAGGGACGAAGGCUUUUUAUAGCGAACAGGAUUAGAUACCCUGGUAGUCAAAGCAGAAAAUGAUGAGUGUCAUAGAUUAGAUAAAAAUUUAUUCUAUAAAUGAAAGUGUAAGCACUCCACCUCAAGAGUAAUUUGGCAACAUUGGAACUGAAAUCAUUAGACCGUAUCUGAAACCAGUAGUGAAGUAUGUUAUUUAAUUUGAUAAUCCGCAAAAAACCUUACCACAACUUGAAUAUUUAUACACUUACUUUUAUUACAUGGUUUAUAUCACCAUGUUAAAGAAAAAAGGUAAAAUUAUAUAGAUACAAGUGUUGCACGGGCUGUCUUCAGUUAAUGUCGUCAGACUAUGGUUAGCUCCAGUAAAUUAACGUAAACCCUUGCUCUAGUUUUAAAUA